GAGAGAUUAUUCUCUUUUCAUCCUAGCCUUUUCGAAAAAGAAAGGAGAAGGACGCAUGGGGUUUAAACUUUUCAAGCUUCAAAUUGAUCGAGAUUUGAGGUAAUCAGGGGAUAGUUGAGGAAAAGUUUUUUUUUUGCGAAUUAGUCCUCGGCGUUUUGCGUGUCACCAUUUUUGUCUGGUUAGGUAUUCAUUGAUCCGAUUGUCGACUCAGCAUACAGUGGCAAAUCUUGAACAAAUCUUGAACUCAAUGUUGGUGAAUGGAUCUUUUCGGUCUUGGCAUGUACCUAGGAUGUUUAAUGUUUUAAAUGGUCAUUUUAUAUUUAGUUAGUCUUUUUGAGAUUAUGUAAGUAUGCAUUUUGAGUGAUGAUAAUAGUUGUGAUUGGUAUUUUGAUAGGUUGUCCUGGUUUGAUACUUAAAUAUAUGAUAGUUGAAUGUAUACGUGUGUAGAAUGAAUUCUUGAGAAAUUAAUGAGGGUAUAUUGACA